UAAUUCCGGUUGAUCCUGCCGGAGGUUACUGCUAUCGGUGUUUGACUAAGCCAUGCGAGUCAAAUGUUCUUCGUGAACAUGGCGUAAUGCUCAGUAACACGUGGAUAACCUGCCCUUAGGUCCGGCAUAACCUCGGGAAACUGAGGAUAAUUCCGGAUAGCCCUUUUUCGCCGGAACGCAUAAAGGGUCAAAGAACCUCGCCUAAGGAUGGGUCUGCGGCCUAUCAGGUUGUAGCGGGUGUAAUGUACCCGCUAGCCGACAACGGGUACGGGUUGUGAGAGCAAGAGCCCGGAGAUGGACUCUGAGACAUGAGUCCAGGCCCUACGGGGCGCAGCAGGCGCGAAAACUUUACAAUGCAGGAAACUGUGAUAAGGAGACACCGAGUGCUCACAUCAAAUGUGGGCUGUCCGCUUACCUAAAUCGUAAGCGUUAGCAAGGACCGGGCAAGACCGGUGCCAGCCGCCGCGGUAAUACCGGUGGUCCGAGUGGUAGCCGCUUUUAUUGGGUCUAAAGGGUCCGUAGCCGGUUCGGUCAGUCCAUUGGGAAAUCCGGAUGCUCAACAUUCGGGCUUCCAGUGGAUACUGCCGGACUUGGGAUUGGGGGAGGUAAGAGGUACUAUAGGGGUAGGAGUGAAAUCUUGUAAUCCUUGUGGGACCACCUGUGGCGAAGGCGUCUUACCAAAACAAGUCCGACGGUGAGGGACGAAAGCUGGGGGCACGAACCGGAUUAGAUACCCGGGUAGUCCCAGCCGUAAACGAUGCUCGCUAGGUGUCAGGCAUGGCGUGACUGUGUCUGGUGCCGAAGGGAAGCCGUGAAGCGAGCCACCUGGGAAGUACGGCCGCAAGGCUGAAACUUAAAGGAAUUGGCGGGGGAGCACAACAACGGGUGGAGCCUGCGGUUUAAUUGGACUCAACGCCGGAAAACUCACCAGGGGAGACAGCAAUAUGUAGGUCAAGCUGAAGACUUUACCUGAAUCGCUGAGAGGAGGUGCAUGGUCGUCGCCAGUUCGUACUGUGAAGCAUCCUGUUAAGUCAGGCAACGAGCGAGACCCGUGCCCACAGUUACCAGCGGCAUCUCCGGAUGGCCGGGUACUCUGUGGGGACCGCCGGUGUUAAAUCGGAGGAAGGUGCGGGCUACGGUAGAUCAGUAUGCCCCGAAUCUCUUGGGCUACACGCGGGCUACAAUGGACGGGACAAUGGGUUACGACACCGAAAGGUGAGGUAAAUCUCACAAACCCGUUCUAAGUUCGGAUCGAGGAUUGAAACCCAUCCUCGUGAAGCUGGAAUCCGUAGUAAUCGCGUUUCAACAUAGCGCGGUGAAUACGUCCCUGCUCCUUGCACACACCGCCCGUCAAACCACCCGAGUGAGGUAUGGGUGAGGGUAUGGACAUCGUGCCGUAUUCGAACCUGAAUUUUGCAAGGGGGGUUAAGUCGUAACAAGGUAGCCGUAGGGGAAUCUGCGGCUGGAUCACCU
rnacentral:rRNA from 1 species